CUGCGAAACCGGGGCCUAGCCCCGGUCGCCCAAGGGCGGCGCCUUGGGCCUGAUGAGCAGCCGAUA
rnacentral:hammerhead_ribozyme from 1 species